rnacentral:sRNA from 1 species
GGUUGGAUGAAGAUGAAGUCCUGGGAGAGGAUGGAUUGGACGAUGAGUUGAGUGUAGAAGGAAUGACAGAGAACAUAGAUCUCUCAACUGUUGAAGAAAAUCAAAUUACAAGCAAUUUGCCUGAAAAUAAAUCGUCGCCGCAAAAAGAAAACUUGAUGCCAGCAAAGAAAGUCAAAACGUAUCACAGCCGAAAAAGAUAACACUGAACCGUAAUACAUCCAUUAGCGCACACUCUGAAAAAGAAAAUCAACAUCAAACUGAAAAACAGUCAGAAGAGAAAGACUCAACUGAACCUGAGAAAAAAAUUGUCAAAAUCUCAAGUUUUUCUGUAAAAGAGAGAUUGGAACUGAGAGCUCAAAAAUUUGGUGUGCCAUUGUCAGAAGCCGCAAAAAAAGAAGCUAGAGCUGCAAGAUUUGGUAUAAGUGCAAGUCAGCCGACUAAUCAGGUUGCAUCAACUGAAGUUUUGAAAAAACGAGCAGAAAGGUUUGGUGCAACGGUCUCCUCUCAAUUACAAAAGACCGAACUAAACGACAAAAAGAAAUCAAGAGCAGAGCGAUUUGGACUGACCGGCAGCACUCCUUCAGCCACCGACAAGGCCAAUCUAGACGAAAAAAUGAAAUUGAGAGCGGAAAGGUUCAAAAUAAAUAAUGUAUAAGAAAUGUGACUUUUCAAUUAACAAAAAUACGAAAAAUACCUGCAGAAAUUCAUUCAAAGGUUUAUAGUAUAAAUAAUUUCAUAAUGUUUUAUAAAAAUCCCUUCAAAUAAGCAGGCUAAUUAUAAAAAAUAUUACACAAGUAUUCAAAUUUAAAA